UACGAAGGGGGCUAGCGUUGCUCGGAAUCACUGGGCGUAAAGGGCGCGUAGGCGGGUCUUUAAGUCAGGGGUGAAAUCCUGGAGCUCAACUCCAGAACUGCCUUUGAUACUGAAGAUCUUGAGGUCGGGAGAGGUGAGUGGAACUGCGAGUGUAGAGGUGAAAUUCGUAGAUAUUCGCAAGAGCACCAGUGGCGAAGGCGGCUCACUGGCCCGAUACUGACGCUGAGGCACGAAAGCGUGGGGAGCAAACAGG
rnacentral:rRNA from 1 species